rnacentral:rRNA from 1 species
UACGUAGGGGGCAAGCGUUGUCCGGAUUUAUUGGGCGUAAAGAGCGUGUAGGCGGUUAGGUAGGUCCGUUGUGAAAACUUGAGGCUCAACCUCGAGACGCCGAUGGAAACCAUCUAACUAGAGUCCGGAAGAGGAGAAUGGAAUUCCUGGUGUAGCGGUGAAAUGCGCAGAUAUCAGGAAGAACACCCGUGGCUAAGGCGGUUCUCUAGUACGGUACUGACGCUGAGACGCGAAAGCGUGGGGAGCGAACAGG